UUAUUUUAAAUUAGUGGGAUAUGGGUAAUUUAGAUACAAACUAAGGGUUAUUUAUUUUUUUUAUGCUAGUAACAAAGUAGAAUAGAUCCAAUAACUAUUAUUCUCAAGAUCGUGCUUUAACACGUUUUUCAUUAAGCAGAAUAAAAGAGUUUUGUUACAUAUAGUGACAAGUUACGAUAAUCCAAAGAUUAUCAAUGCACACCCGUCACUCUCACCACACUCGCACGUGGUUGUAAUUAUAUGGAAACUACUGAACGACAGAGGUGCUUAUGGCGAGGGGCUAGAUGGCCUCCACGAUCAUAUCUAGGUUCAUGGCCAUUAGUUCAAACUCCCCACCAAAAAGAAAUUGCAGCCCCUCCUAGGUGGAGUCUGACAGUGGCGUCCUGAAGGUAGCCUUGUUCUUCCGCACCAUCUCGAAGUCGACCUUAGGUGAUGGUAUAACCAUCCUAGUUUUUGCAUGAGAACACACUGAGCCUGUUUGGUGGAGUCCGCUUGCGCAACUUGGCUGCAAUGCGCUCACUAUGCCGCGGUAAUGUAAUGGGGACCGGUGUUCGAGGCCUACGCAACCUCAACUUCCCCUGGAUGAGGGGGGUUUGCCGCUCCCCCAAAGUCUCUUGAAUUGACAUUGUGGCCAUUGCAUGAGUCCCUCCACCAACAACAGCCGGCAUGGCUGAACCACCUCCGUUUACAUCAAACACGACCUAGACUGGGGGUGCGGAUAUCCCCUAGCUAGCUCCGUCACUAGAACCACACCCUCCUCUAACGCAACAGCACCCGUGACCAUAGGUGCUGAGGCCGUGGGUUGGCUCACAGCGUACAAGGGACCCAUCCAAGGAGGCAUGCACUGCACAGGUGAUGAUGGUGGUGAAAACGAAGCUCAAACCUCUUGAGAAGGCGGUGCUGGUGCUAGUGCAAGUCUUGCGAGACGGCAAGUUCCUUUAGCAUUGCUGGUGUUGGUGCUAGUGCAAGUCUUGCGAGGCGGCAAGUUCUUCUAGCAUUGGGUCGAACCACUCGGGGGGGGGGGAGCAUCCUGCUCGCGCACAACUCCAACCCCAGUGCCAAUGCUAGUGGAUCAGGCCCGGCGAAGAAGAGUGCAGCAGCAAGAGCAACUGCACUGUCGUUGGUGUCGGCAGGGCGCACCCAUGUCGUUGUCAAUCUUCGGCCCAGUUCGGCGCCGUCGUUGUCAUCUGCCGCUGGCGUCCCCCUCAGCCCCUAGUGCGGCAUCCUCCGAAUUGGGACUGACGAAUAGAGUAGAUCUGCCAAAUUAAGGCAACAUGUUAUGAUUAUUGUGAUAAUUUUUAGACUGAUCUUUUUCCCCCUAAUGUGUUUCAUGCUGGUCAAGGGCGGAGCUUGGGUAAGGCCAAGCUGGGCGGCCAUGGCCCCUGUCUAAUGCGACCGAACGUUUUGUGUUUAGGUGCUGAUCUGGUGGGCAUUGCUCACAUCGGUCCACACCAGGAUUUAAUUGCGUGCUAGGUAGGCUGACAUAUACAUAUGCAUUAGAGCACGCAUGCCCUCAGGGCCCGGGAGGUACGUACGCCAUGGCCCGUCGUCGAUCGACAAGUUUGAAGGGGAUGAUGGAUGGACCCAAAAAAAAAAAGAGGAAAGAGAGAGGUACACACAUCACUUAACUUUGGCAGGUGCUCUGUUUCGAUGAUGGGUUCCUUUUCCGGGUGUUUUCCUCGCGAUGCUUGCCUAGCCAACUUUCUCCUCGCCAAGUUAACCGGGAGGGAGAGAUGGAGCCCCAGCUGAUGGAGAUGAUUCGCGUUGCAUUGGUACGUGUAAGUAACUGCACGGCACGCCUGCACCAAACAAACUGAGAAGCCAAGGGAAGGGAAGGGAAGGGAAGGGAAGAGACCCGGCGGGCAGACCGGCCGGCAGAGAAACAAAUAUACGUAAUGCGCAUGCCUGCCUGCUUUUGCUUGGCGUAAGCCAGCGUGUUCUUUAUUUUUACGGUGUUUCUUUCGUAGGUUGUAAUUUAGCCGCCGUGCCGGCCAAAAAUAGCCUAAAGGCCACUUUGAUAGAGCUUCAUUUUUUUUAUUCUCCAAGGAGUGAUUCUCGUGGGGAAAUGAUUCCUUUGACAAUAUGAAUGAGGAGUGGAGAGAACAGAGAAGCAGUGGAGAGUGAA